GACGAACGCUGGCGGCGUGCCUAAUACAUGCAAGUCGAACGCAGUGGGGACUGGUGAGUAACACGUGGUUAACCUCCCAUCAGAGGGGAUAACACUUGGAAACAGGUGCUAAACCGAUACUGAUGUAUUACCCCGCAGUGCAUUAGCUAGUUGGUGAGGUAGCGGCUCACCAAGGCCACGAUGCAUAGCGGACAUGCGGUGGCGGUCGGCCACACUGGGACUGAGACACGGCCCAGACUCCUACGGUAGGCAGCAGUAGGGAAUCUUCGGCAAUGGUCGAAAGUCUGACCGAGCAACGCCGCGUGAGUGAAGAAGGUUUUCGGAUCGUAAAUCUCUGUUGUUAGAGAAGCGGUAUCUAACCAGAAAGCCACGGCUAACUACGUGCCAGCAGCCGCGGUAAUUC
rnacentral:rRNA from 1 species